rnacentral:rRNA from 1 species
UUGAAAGGGAAACGAUUGAAGUCAGUCGUACCGACGGGAAUUCAACUUCUUGAGCGCUUGUCGUGGGUGAUAUAGAGCUUCACGGCCUUCGUUGCUUGCGUUAUGGUGCUUUUGGGGUGUACUUUUCCGUAUGGUAGGUCAAUAUCGAUUUUGGUCGUCAUAAAAUGAUCGGAGGAAUGUGGCUUCGAUCUCGUAUCGGAGUGUUAUAGCCUUUGGUAAAUGUGACGAUUGGGAUCGAGGAUUGCAACGAAUACCCUUUGGGCUAUCCGUCUGACCUCUGAAAGUCGCUCGGGUGUCGAAAGCGUGCUUAUGACAUUCUAGUUGGCGGUCAAAAGGUUAGAACGCGAUUACAUUCGUUAAGGAUGUUGACGUA